rnacentral:rRNA from 1 species
AGAGUUUGAUCCUGGCUCAGGACGAACGCUGGCGGCGCGCCUAACACAUGCAAGUCGAACGAGAGAGAGGGAGCUUGCUUCCUCGAUCGAGUGGCGAACGGGUGAGUAACGCGUGAGGAACCUGCCUCAAAGAGGGGGACAACAGUUGGAAACGACUGCUAAUACCGCAUAAGCCCACGGCUCGGCAUCGAGCAGAGGGAAAAGGAGCAAUCCGCUUUGAGAUGGCCUCGCGUCCGAUUAGCUAGUUGGUGAGGUAACGGCCCACCAAGGCAACGAUCGGUAGCCGGACUGAGAGGUUGAACGGCCACAUUGGGACUGAGACACGGCCCAGACUCCUACGGGAGGCAGCAGUGGGGAAUAUUGCACAAUGGGGGAAACCCUGAUGCAGCGACGCCGCGUGGAGGAAGAAGGUCUUCGGAUUGUAAACUCCUGUUGUUGAGGAAGAUAAUGACGGUACUCAACAAGGAAGUGACGGCUAACUACGUGCCAGCAGCCGCGGUAAAACGUAGGUCACAAGCGUUGUCCGGAAUUACUGGGUGUAAAGGGAGCGCAGGCGGGCGAUCAAGUUGGAAGUGAAAUCCAUGGGCUCAACCCAUGAACUGCUUUCAAAACUGAUUGUCUUGAGUAGUGCAGAGGUAGGCGGAAUUCCCGGUGUAGCGGUGGAAUGCGUAGAUAUCGGGAGGAACACCAGUGGCGAAGGCGGCCUACUGGGCACCAACUGACGCUGAGGCUCGAAAGUGUGGGUAGCAAACAGGAUUAGAUACCCUGGUAGUCCACACCGUAAACGAUGAUUACUAGGUGUUGGAGGAUUGACCCCUUCAGUGCCGCAGUUAACACAAUAAGUAAUCCACCUGGGGAGUACGACCGCAAGGUUGAAACUCAAAGGAAUUGACGGGGGCCCGCACAAGCAGUGGAGUAUGUGGUUUAAUUCGACGCAACGCGAAGAACCUUACCAAGUCUUGACAUCCUGCGACGGGCAUAGAAAUAUGUUUUUCCUUCGGGACGCAGAGACAGGUGGUGCAUGGUUGUCGUCAGCUCGUGUCGUGAGAUGUUGGGUUAAGUCCCGCAACGAGCGCAACCCUUAUCUUCAGCUACUAACGCGUGAGGGUGAGGACUCUGAAGAGACUGCCGGGGACAACUCGGAGGAAGGUGGGGACGACGUCAAAUCAUCAUGCCCCUUAUGACCUGGGCUACACACGUGCUACAAUGGCCACGAC